rnacentral:rRNA from 1 species
GAUGAACGCUGGCGGCGUGCUUAACACAUGCAAGUCGAACGAAGAAGCUCAGCUUGCUGGGUGGAUUAGUGGCGAACGGGUGAGUAACACGUGAGUAACUUGCCCUUAACUCUGGGAUAAGCCUGGGAAACUAGGUGUAAUACAGGAAAGGAGCGCCUACGGCAUGAUGGGUGUUGGAAAGAUUUAUCGGUUUUGGGUGGAUACGCGGCUUAUCAGCGUGUUGGUGAGGGAAUGGCUACCCAAGGCGACGACGGGUAGCCGGCCUGAGAGGGGGACCGGCGACACGGGUACUGCGACACGGACCAGACUCCUACGGGAGGCAGCAGUGGGGAAUAUUGCACAAUGGGCGAGAGCCUGAUGCAGCGACGCCGCGUGAGGGAUGACGGCCUUCGUGUUGUAAACCUCUUUCAGUAGAGAAGAAGCGAGAUUGACGGUACCUGCAGAAGAAGCACCGGCUAACUACGUG